CUAUAAGAUCCAUCGAUAAACGGUUAAUACAGAGGCAUAGGUUAGAAGACUCGUUCUGCUUCAAGUUUCUUUAUAGAUAAACUUUAUUCAAAUAUUUAAAUAAUAAUAACCGAAGGUAUCUAUCACUAAUAUUUUCGCUGCAUAAAAUUAUUUUAAUUAAGAUAUUUUUCUCGUAUUAUGGUAUCAGAGCUAUGUUCUAAUCUUGUUGUUUAGUAUCU
rnacentral:lncRNA from 1 species